rnacentral:rRNA from 1 species
AUUGAACGCUGGCGGCAUGCUUUACACAUGCAAGUCGAACGGUAACAGGUUAAGCUGACGAGUGGCGAACGGGUGAGUAAUGCAUCGGAACGUGCCCGGUCGUGGGGGAUAACGCAGCGAAAGCUGCGCUAAUACCGCAUACGAUCUGAGGAUGAAAGCGGGGGACCGUAAGGCCUCGCGCGAUCGGAGCGGCCGAUGUCAGAUUAGGUAGUUGGUGGGGUAAAGGCUCACCAAGCCAACGAUCUGUAGCUGGUCUGAGAGGACGACCAGCCACACUGGGACUGAGACACGGCCCAGACUCCUACGGGAGGCAGCGGUGGGGAAUUUUGGACAAUGGGCGAAAGCCUGAUCCAGCAAUGCCGCGUGCAGGAAGAAGGCCUUCGGGUUGUAAACUGCUUUUGUACGGAGCGAAAAGGUCUCCUCUAAUACAGGGGGCUCAUGGCGGUACCGUAAGAAUAAGCACCGGCUAACUACGUGCCAGCCGCCGCGGUAA